rnacentral:rRNA from 1 species
GACGAACGCUGGCGGCGUGCUUAACACAUGCAAGUCGAACGGAAAGGCCCUGCUUUGGUGGGGGGCUCGAGUGGCGAACGGGUGAGUAACACGUGAGUAACCUGCCCUUGACGUGGGGAUAACUUCAGGAAACUGGGGCUAAUACCGGAUAGGAGCUCCGGCUGCAUGGUGGGGGUUGGAAAGUUUCGGCGGUUGGGGAUGGACUGGGGGCUUAUCAGCUUGUGGGUGGGGUAGUGGCUUACCAAGGCUUUGACGGGUAGCCGGCCUGAGAGGGGGACCGGCCCCAUUGGGACUGCGAUACGGCCCAGAGUCCUACGGGAGGCAGCAGUGGGGAAUAUUGCCCAAUGGGCGGAAGCCUGAUGCAGCAACGCCGCGUGCGGGAUGACGGCCUUCGGGUUGUAAACCGCUUGCGCCUGUGACGAAGCGUGAGUGACGGUAAUGGGUGAAGAAGCACCGGCUAACUACGUG